rnacentral:rRNA from 1 species
AUUGAACGCUGGCGGCAUGCCUUACACAUGCAAGUCGAACGGUAACAGGUUAAGCUGACGAGUGGCGAACGGGUGAGCAAUGUAUCGGAACGUGCCCAGUCGUGGGGGAUAACUGCUCGAAAGAGCAGCUAAUACCGCAUACGACCUGAGGGUGAAAGCGGGGGAUCGCAAGACCUCGCGCGAUUGGAGCGGCCGCUAUCAGAUUAGGUAGUUGGUGAGGUAAAGGCUCACCAAGCCGACGAUCUGUAGCUGGUCUGAGAGGGCGACCAGCCAGACUGGGACUGAGACACGGCCCAGACUCCGACGGGAGGCAGCAGUGGGGAAUUUUGGACAAUGGGCGCAAGCCUGAUUCAGCCAUGCCGCGUGCGGGAAGAAGGCCUUCGGGUUGUAAACCGCUUUUGUCAGGGAAGAAAAGGUUCUGGCUAAUACCUGGGACUCAUGACGGUACCUGAAGAAUAAGCACCGGCUAACUACGUGCCAGCCGCCGCCGUAAAAC